rnacentral:rRNA from 1 species
UUGACCUCGGAUCAGGUAGGGAUACCCGCUGAACUUAAGCAUAUCAAUAAGCGGAGGAAAAGAAACCAACAGGGAUUGCCCCAGUAACGGCGAGUGAAGCGGCAAGAGCUCAAAUUUGAAAGCUGGCUCCUUCGGGGUCCGCAUUGUAAUUUGUAGAGGAUGCUUCGGGAGCGGUCCCCAUCUAAGUGCCCUGGAACGGGACGUCAUAGAGGGUGAGAAUCCCGUAUGGGAUGGGGUGUCCGCGCCCGUGUGAAGCUCCUUCGACGAGUCGAGUUGUUUGGGAAUGCAGCUCUAAAUGGGUGGUAAAUUUCAUCUAAAGCUAAAUAUUGGCCGGAGACCGAUAGCGCACAAGUAGAGUGAUCGAAAGAUGAAAAGCACUUUGAAAAGAGAGUUAAAAAGCACGUGAAAUUGUUGAAAGGGAAGCGCUUGCGACCAGACUCGCUCGCGGGGUUCAGCCGGCACUCGUGCCGGUGUACUUCCCCGCGGGCGGGCCAGCGUCGGUUUGGGCGGUCGGUCAAAGGCCCUCGGAAGGUAACGCCCCCAGGGGCGUCUUAUAGCCGAGGGUGCAAUGCGACCUGCCUAGACCGAGGAACGCGCUUCGGCUCGGACGCUGGCAUAA